rnacentral:rRNA from 1 species
AUUGAACGCCGGCGGCAGGCUUAACACAUGCAAGUCGAGCGGGGGAAGGUAGCUUGCUACCGGACCUAGCGGCGGACGGGUGAGUAAUGCUUAGGAAUCUGCCUAUUAGUGGGGGACAACAUCUCGAAAGGGAUGCUAAUACCGCAUACGUCCUACGGGAGAAAGCAGGGGAUCUUCGGACCUUACGCUAAUAGAUGAGCCUAAGUCGGAUUAGCUAGUUGGUGGGGUAAAGGCCUACCAAGGCGACGAUCUGUAGCGGGUCUGAGAGGAUGAUCCGCCACACUGGGACUGAGACACGGCCCAGACUCCUACGGGAGGCAGCAGUGGGGGAUAUUGGACAAUGGGGGGAACCCUGAUCCAGCCAUGCCGCGUGUGUGAAGAAGGCUUUAUGGUUGUAAAGCACUUUAAGCGAGGAGGAGGCUACUCUAGUUAAUACCUAGGGAUAGUGGACGUUACUCGCAGAAUAAGCACCGGCUAACUCUGUGCCAGCCGCCGCAGUAA